UACAGAGGGUGCAAGCGUUAAUCGGAAUUACUGGGCGUAAAGCGUGCGUAGACGGUUACAUAAGUCGGGUGUGAAAGCCCCGGGCUCAACCUGGGAAUUGCAUUCGAGACUGCGUAGCUAGGGUGCGGAAGAGGGAAGCGGAAUUUCCGGUGUAGCGGUGAAAUGCGUAGAUAUCGGAAGGAACACCAGUGGCGAAAGCGGCUCCUGGUCCAGCACCGACGUUCAGGCACGAAAGCGUGGGGAGCAAACAGG
rnacentral:rRNA from 1 species